rnacentral:rRNA from 1 species
UUCUGUAAGCCUGCGAAGGUGGCCUGUGAGGGUUGCUGGAGGUAUCAGAAGUGCGAAUGCUGACAUAAGUAACGAUAAUGCGGGUGAAAAGCCCGCACGCCGGAAGACCAAGGGUUCCUGUCCAACGUUAAUCGGGGCAGGGUGAGUCGACCCCUAAGGCGAGGCCGAAAGGCGUAGUCGAUGGGAAACAGGUUAAUAUUCCUGUACUUGGUGUUACUGCGAAGGGGGGACGGAGAAGGCUAUGUUAGCCGGGCGACGGUUGUCCCGGUUUAAGCAUGUAGGCGGAGGUUCCAGGUAAAUCCGGUAC